AACCCUUGAUGAGAGCACCUUCUCAAUAAAUCUUUGAAUCUCUCUCAUGCAUCAUAUAAUGUCUCUAAAUUGAUCUGGGCAAUGGAAGAAAUGUCAUUCCUCAACUU
rnacentral:snoRNA from 1 species